GAAGUCACCAUUGCACAAUAUGGUCCUAGUAUAUCACGCAAGAAAAGGACACCAGUGACGAGUAGAGAUGCAGAUUUAAAGGAAGAAGCAGGUGGUGCUCGGUUAAGACUGGGUCCUCUCGCCCUCCCUCCAGUGAAGAAACCCAAGAAGUGUGGUGGGCAGGCGGAAACAAGUCCAAGUAUUGAGACAACCUGAGAAACUACUUGACCCAGCAACAAAUGAUUAGCUCUUCUCCACCCCAAAUUUGCUUCCAGGUUCAGAGAUAUCAUAUCAUGUCAAUCUGGAGAGCUGUGUUCUUUGUGUAUACCCUCUUGGAGGUUACGGCACCCAUGGAGUUUGCUACUAACGAGGUUAUGUCACUUCCAUUAGAACCGCGAGUACGUUGCAGGGUGCAGAUAUGAGUUGUGCAUGAUACAGAAGGAAGAAGAUUCGGCUUGGGCAGAUCAGAGAACCUAUUGGCAGGGAAGAGAUAAUUUAUAGAGUGAUCAGGGAGAAGAAUAAGCUUGAAAGGGAAGAAAAGGUGGAAUCCGACUGGCGCUUCUGAUGAUUUGGCAUCGAGCAAUGCUCCAAUGAGCUGGGAUGAUUCGAGUUCACCAGUAGAGUGAUGGAGACCUACAAUGUAUGUCGGUUUCAGACUAUGAAUGCUUCCAAUUGCGUUACUGUAUUUUUCUCCUUGUUGGAUCCAUUGAAAAAAAAUCGAAUGUCACUUAAAAGUGUUGGCCAAAUUUGUAUGCAAAAGUAUUAAAAAGAAAGGGUUGAUGGCAACAUUAUAUAACAUUUGUGCUUCAUAUAGGGAUCUUACAGUGAAACGUGAUUGCAUAUAAGAGAUCAUAACACAACA